CCGGUGAUCGCAAUACGCAUGGAUGUCCGUAAAAUAAACUAUUAUCUGAAUUUACAUGUUAAACACGUGCUCAAUUUCCAUGCGUGUUUGUUGAUUUUUUGUUGAUUGUUGACAAACAGGUGACAAUCGUUAAACUUCGGCUUCAAAACACGAACUUUAAUUACUGCCCAUUUUCACAACAACACUGACCGAUUGAAAAAAAAAUGACGAUUGUACGAAAAUUUAUGCGAAAAAAUGAAAAAUUCUUGAAC
rnacentral:lncRNA from 1 species